GACGAACGCUGGCGGCGUGCUUAACACAUGCAAGUCGAGCAGUAAGGCUCCUUCGGGAGUACACGAGCGGCGAACGGGUGAGUAACACGUGAGCAAUCUGCCCUUCUCAUCGGAAUAACCAUUGGAAACGAUGGCUAAUGCCGAAUAUGACCUCGGAUCACAUGUUCUGAGGUGGAAAGCUCCGGCGGAGAAGGAUGAGC
rnacentral:rRNA from 1 species